rnacentral:rRNA from 1 species
CGCGUAGGCGGCUUUGCGUGUCUUCCGUGAAAUCCCUCGGCUCAACUGAGGACGUGCGGAAGAAACUGCGAGGCUCGAGUCCGGGAGAGGAGGGUGGAAUUCCCAGUGUAGCGGUGAAAUGCGUAGAUAUUGGGAGGAACACCGGUGGCGAAGGCGGCCCUCUGGACCGGUACUGACGCUGAUGCGCGAAAGCGUGGGGAGCAAACGG